AUGGCCCUCCCAAGAGAGAAGCAGGCGUCGGCGCUGUGCAGGCCGUCCAUGGCGAUGGAGACGCCCGGGCAGGAAGGGCUCGAUCCGGAUGAACCAGCCCACACCGAGCCCGGCCGCCUCAACAGGAGCUCGUCUCUCUGCCUGCCAGUGGCUCACCGAAGCCGCCAUCGCCGGCGACCGCCUCCCUCACCUUGUGCCCCUUCUCCUUCGCCUUUCUUCCUCUCUUCCCCGAGGAGCGGGGAGCCGGCGAAUCCGUCAGUCAGGAGCUGGGCAGCGCCCUCCAUCAUCGCCGUCGUUUGGGGAGGGACGCGGUCCUGGUCGAUGCGGUGUGGGGCGGGCGACGCGGGGCAGGAGGUGGCGGCGGGAUGA
rnacentral:rRNA from 1 species